AGAGGGAUGGAGAGCCUUCCUAGCAUAUACUUCAGAGGGAAAUGGAAAGUUUCAGGAUUGGGAUACGGCCAUGAAGUAUCAACGGAAGAAUGGAUCCUUGUUUAAUUCACCAUCAACCACAGCUGCUGCUUUUACUCACCUUAAGAAUCCCAGUUGUCUUACGUAUUUACGCACACUCUUAGAAAAGUUUGGGAAUGCAGUCCCAACAAUUUAUCCUCUAGAUAACUAUGCUCGCCUUACUAUGGUUUCCAGUCUAGAAAGUUUGGGUAUUGAUCGACAUUUCAGGGAGGAAAUUACAGGUGUACUGGAUGGAACAUACAGAUUCUGGCUGCAGGGAGAUGAAGAUAUAUUUUCAAAUGCUGCCACUUGUGCAAUGGCAUUUUGACUCUUACGUGUUAAUGGAUAUGAUGUUUCUGCAGAUCCAUUAACUCAAUUUUCAGAAGAUUGCUUCUUCAAUUCCCUUGGAGAAUACUUGAGGGAUGUUGGCGCUGCGUUUGAAUUGUUUAGAGCUUCAGAAAUCACCCUACAUCCUGAUGAAUCAGUUCUGAAGAAACUAAAUUAUUGGACACGUUGCUGUUUGCGAGUCCUUACUUAGUUAGGAUUUUGGUUAUUUACCCAUUUAUCUAGUCCUAU